CCUCAAGCUCCCCAAAUGGGAGAGCGAGGAGAGUCAAAAGAGGCUAGCGAGAGAGCGAGCACAUUCAGAAGUGAACUUUUAUUGGGGGGACCCUCAUUCUUAGAAAGUUCCAUCCAAAAAAGGUCAGGAGGGACAGGGUUACAAGGACAGGUGAGUAAUUCCACUCCUGGGGCUACAGGAAGGCACGUCUACGUCUGAAGACACAUUCUGCUACUUUGAGGAUCAGGGCAAUAUCCAGUCACUACGAAAGUGACCAGCAGAACCUCUCUGAUCACAGGAAGGAGAAUGCCAGUCAUUCAGUGAGACAGCCUCCCACACUUUAGAGUGAGACCCAAAACUUGAAAAUGUGGAAAACACUUCAGGACAUCAAUUUGGAUAAAGAUUUCUUGAUAUGGCCCCCAAAACACAGGCAACAAAAGCAAAAAUGAACAAAUAGGAUCACAUCAAAUUAGAGAACUUCUGUACAACAAAGGAAACCAUCAACAGUGAGACGACUUGAAAAAAUGGGAGAAAAUAUUAACCAGCUAUUCAUCUGACAAAAGUGGGGAUGCAGAACAUAUAAGCACUCAACAACAAAAACAAAAUUAAAGAUGGGCACAGGAUCUAAAUAGACAUUUAGACAUCUCUGAAAAGAAGAAACACAGAUGGCCAACACAUAUGAAAAAAACACCAGCCCUAAUCAUCAGGGAAAUGCAAAUCAGAACCACAGUGAGAAGUCACCUCAUUCCAGCUAAUCGGCUACUAUCAGACAAAAGGUGUGCAGUGAAGAUCUGGAAAAUUGGGAACUCUUAUCCAUUGUUGGUUGGAAUGUAAAUUAGCUCAGCCAUUAUAGAAAAAAAU
rnacentral:lncRNA from 1 species